UACAGAGGUCCCAAGCGUUUGUUCGGAUUCACUGGGCGUAAAGGGUGCGUAGGUGGCAGUGUAAGUCUGAUGUGAAAGCUUCGAGCUUAACUCGAAAAUGGCAUUGGAUACUAUAUUGCUGGAGGUUUGGAGGGGGGACUGGAAUUCUCGGUGUAGCAGUGAAAUGCGUAGAUAUCGAGAGGAACACCGGUGGCGAAGGCGAGUCCCUGGACAACACCUGACACUGAGGCACGAAAGCUAGGGGAGCAAACAGG
rnacentral:rRNA from 1 species